rnacentral:rRNA from 1 species
UACGGUGGGAGCAAGCGUUGUUCGGAUUUACUGGGCGUAAAGGGCGCGUAGGCGGCGCAACAAGUCACUUGUGAAAUCUCCGGGCUUAACCCGGAGCGGCCAAGUGAUACUGUCGUGCUAGAGUGCGGAAGGGGCUACUGGAAUUCUCGGUGUAGCGGUGAAAUGCGUAGAUAUCGGGAGGAAUACCGGUGGCGAAAGCGACUCUCUGGACGGCAACUGACGCUGAGGCACGAAAGCGUGGGGAGCAAACAGG